CGAAACCGGAUGAUCUAUCCAUGGCCAGGUUGAAGGCUGGGUAACACCAGCUGGAGGACCGAACCGACUAAUGUUGCAAAAUUAGCGGAUGAGCUGUGGAUAGGGGUGAAAGGCUAAACAAAUCCGGAAAUAGCUGGUUCUCCCCGAAAACUAUUUAGGUAGUGCCUCGUGUAUUGCUCGGGGGGGUAGAGCACUGUAAUGGUUGCGGGGGU
rnacentral:rRNA from 18 species